rnacentral:tRNA from 2 species
GGGCGGUUAGCUCAGUUGGUUAGAGCGCUACCUUGACAUGGUAGAGGUCACAGGUUCGACUCCUGUAUCGCCCA